AGGGUUUGAUCAUGGCUCAGAUUGAACGCUGGCGGAAUGCUUUACACAUGCAAGUCGAGCGGCAGCACGGGGGUAACCCUGGUGGCGAGCGGCGAACGGGUGAGUAAUACAUCGGAACAUGCCCAGUCGUGGGGGAUAACACUUCGAAAGAAGUGCUAAUACCGCAUACGUCCUGAGGGAGAAAGCGGGGGACCGCAAGACCUCGCGCGAUUGGAGUGGCCGAUGUCAGAUUAGCUAGUUGGUGGGGUAAAGGCCUACCAAGGCAACGAUCUGUAGCUGGUCUGAGAGGAUGAUCAGCCACACUGGGACUGAGACACGGCCCAGACUCCUACGGGAGGCAGCAGUGGGGAAUUUUGGACAAUGGGGGCAACCCUGAUCCAGCCAUUCCGCGUGAGUGAAGAAGGCCUUCGGGUUGUAAAGCCCUUUCGGCAGGAACGAAACGGUGAGCUCUAACAUAGCUUGCUAAUGACGGUACCUGAAGAAGAAGCACCGGCUAACUACGUGCCAGCCGCCGCGGUAAUAC
rnacentral:rRNA from 1 species